CAGUCUGUGUCUCUCAGGGGGAUAUCUGUCCACUGACUGGUGUCUCUCAGUCCCUGUGUCUCAGGGGGGUAUCUGUCCACUGACUGGUGUCUCUGAUUCUCUCUCGCUGGGAUUCUGUGUGUUUCAGUUUACACAAACUGUUCAUCGUUGAAAUUAAUCAAUCGAGCAGAGUGUGACAGAUCUUUAAUCCGGAUCUGGUCACUGCUGCUGUCCUGCCGCCUGUUGAAGAGACAAACACCUUUUGGGGAAUUGAAAUCGCUGCUGUGGGCGGGGACAGGAAGCUGCGCCUCUGGUUUCAGUGUGUGAGAGCCUGUUCAAACCGCGGCUCCCUCUCUCACUCACAGCCCACGUCCCUAUUUAAACAGCGCUCACUGCGGCUCCGGACAAAGCCGGCCUGAGCUGAAGCCGCCGAUCUCAACAGUGUCCAAGUCCGGCUCAGUGUUCAGGGCGAUGGGGGUCGUUCCGUAUCUCUGUCUCCUCCUGUCUUGUCUGGCAGGCGUGCGGUCGGACGUCGUGCUGACACAGCCCAAGUCAGCGGUGGUAAAGCCCGGACAGUCUCACACACUGACCUGUGCGGUCAGAGGGUUCAGCCUCAGCAGCUAUGGCAUGAGCUGGGUGAAACAGGUCCCCGGGAAAGGGCUGGAGUGGCUGGCGGCUAUAUCGAGUGGUGGUAACAAGUAUUACGCGCCUGGAGUCCAGAGCCGGUUCACCAUUUCCAAGGGCGGCAGCACCGUCACUCUGCAAAUGACCCGCCUGAGACUGGACGACACGGCCACCUAUUACUGUGCGAGAGACACAGUGAGAGAGACCGGGACUGGACCGGGACAAAAACCCAGCGAGAGCGCCUGCCCUUCGGGCGCUGAGGGAAAGGGCAGCAGUGAUCGCCACAGCCGUAUCCCGCUCGUUCUGGGCCACAUCCGCUCGUCCACGCAAUGGAAGGCGGGUUGUCAGCGGGGAUUCCCGAGAAGAGAUGCUGGAUGGAUGGGCCAAGGGGCCGGCCGGCUCUGGGAUCCACUGGAUUUCGGGCUGGAUGUGAUGAAGGCGGUUUGUGACCUGCGGUGAAGCACUGUGACUAUGGAACACGGUGACGGGGAGCUGAACAGAAACUGGUCCCGACAAAGGAGCGUCUGCAGCGCAGUCUGUCUCCACGGAUUCCGCAUUGCUGUUUCCCAGAGUCAAAUCCCUGAAUCCUGACUCGGACUGCUGGGUGUAAAUGUCCAUUUCUGGACAAUUAAAAGCCCAAAAAGGAUUCGACUCUGAUUCUGGGUGAUGGCGAGAGCCGGUGUCCGCAGACAGGAAAACUGUGAAAAUACCUGCUUCAUUCACAUGCCGUGAAGAGACAAGGACGGAGUUUGGGAUGGAAAUCCAGGAAGCGGCUGCUCCCGGUCCGGACAGGGAUCAUGUUGACAUUUUGCUGAGAUUAUUGGAUGUGACGGGCAAGUGAAGUUACUGCACUGGGUGAAUGGGGAGACGGGGCACUGUGACUAUCUUGACUACUGGGGCGGAGGAACCUCGCUGACAGUGACUUCAGAGGUCAAGUCUGUGCCAUCGGUCUACAUCAUACCUUCCUGCAACAGAGAAUCUGACCAAGGCAUCAGCCUCCUCUGUCUGGUCAAGGACUAUCAGCCUGAGAGCAUCAGUCAGACAUGGUCCACUAACAAUGGG